UGGUGAUACUGGGUCUCAAGUCCUUCAUGCC
rnacentral:piRNA from 1 species